ensembl:lncRNA
UACAAACGUUUUGCGUUCGGUGGAACGUUGGUGCGUUAUCAUGGGAUGCUGUCUUCAAAUCUUGUCCCAAAUGGCAGUAACCUACUGGAAAGUGCAUAAAAUGUGAUGGAUUCUAUGUUAGCUAGCUGGCUAUGGCUAUCCAACACAACACUGAAACUCUUCCAAGUCAAGAGUUCCCAGUUGUCCUGAAAGCACCAAUAAUAAUAACUAGAGACAGCCUCUCCAAGAUGCCCGAUUGUUGUUUAAAACGCAAUCUACUCACGGUUGCAUAUACCAAUUCGUGGCUGCCGCCAUCUUGCUAGUUUCGAUUUUACUGGGACUACUCUGCCUGUGCACUAAUACGGGAAUAGCAUGAGCCCGAGCAGUAACUUCAUCACAAGCAUGAGUGCGGGAAGCUUUUGGGCAUUCUGCCAGUGUUGCCAGGGACAUGGAUCUGCGUGGCUGAGACAAGUUGGAGGAAGGUAAAUCUGUACCACAGUGACCACAACCACUUUAAAAAUUAAAGGAGUUGUAUGCAAGUAAAUUAAUGAGGACUAAAUCAAAUGUGCACAAGCUAGCUUGACAUGUGCACCUCAGGAGACCUAGCAGUUGUAUAUUUUCUAUUCAACACAAUGCAAUCACAACAAUUCAUAGGACUUGUUACAAAAUUAAUGAUGAAAAAAGUUUCUGAAAAAGCUUUGCAGUUAUGAUUUGCCUGUUAAUUAUUCGAGCUGUGUCACAAUUAAUCAGUAAAGUUCCCUUGUAUAACAAAAUUUACACAUUCAAAAUGGUUGUGCAUCCUGAUGUAAAACUUCAGUGCCUUCAAAAAGCAUUCAUAACUCUCGACUUAUUCCGCAUUUUGUUAUGUUACAACCUGAAUUCAAAAUGGAUUAAAUAAGUAAAAGUAAAACUAAAUGCAUGCUCUUCAACCGAAUCGCCUUCUUCUUCACGAUGCUGUCUGUGUAAGUGGACCAAUUCAGUUUGUCUGUGAUGUGUAUCCCGAGGAACUUAAAACUUACUACCCUCUCCACUACUGUUCCAUCGAUGUGGAUAGGGGGGUGUUCCCUCUGCUGUUUCCUGAAGUCCACAAUCAUCUCCUUAGUUUUGUUGACGUUGAGUGUGAGGUUAUUUUCCUGACACCACACUCCGAGGGCCCUCACCUCCUCCCUGUAGGCCGUCUCGUCGUUGUUGGUAAUCAAGCCUACCAAUGUUUGUUUUACUCCAUGUGUAACUCUGUCGUUGUAUGUGUCGAACUGCUUUGCUUUAUC